UUGAACGCUGGCGGCGGCCUAACACAUGCAAGUCGAGCGGAUGAAGGGAGCUUGCUCCUGGAUUCAGCGGCGGACGGGUGAGUAAUGCCUAGGAAUCUGCCUGGUAGUGGGGGAUAACGUCCGGAAACGGGCGCUAAUACCGCAUACGUCCUGAGGGAGAAAGUGGGGGAUCUUCGGACCUCACGCUAUCAGAUGAGCCUAGGUCGGAUUAGCUAGUUGGUGGGGUAAAGGCCUACCAAGGCGACGAUCCGUAACUG
rnacentral:rRNA from 1 species